rnacentral:rRNA from 1 species
GACGAACGCUGGCGGCGUGCCUAAUACAUGCAAGUAGGACGCAGUUGCGAACGGGUGAGUAACGCGUAGGUAACUGCCUAUUAGAGGGGGAUAACUAUUGGAAACGAUAGCUAAUACCGCAUACUAGUAGAUGGACCUGCGUUGUAUUAGCUAGUAGGUAGGGUAAUGGCCUCCCUAGGCGACGAUACAUAGCCGACCUGAGAUGAUGAUCGGCCAGACUGGGACUGAGACACGACCCAGACUCCUACGGGAGGCAGCAGGAGGGAAUCUUCGGCAAUGGGGGGAACCCUGGCCGAGCAACGCCGCGGGAGUGAAGAAGGUUUUCGGAUCGAAAAGCUCUGUUGUUAAGGAAGCGAUACUUAACCAGAAAGGGACGGCUAACUACGUGACAGCAGCCGCGGUAAAAC